rnacentral:rRNA from 1 species
GGACGAACGCUGGCGGCGUGCCUAACACAUGCAAGUCGAGCGGGGACAUACGACGGAGUCAAAGUUUCGGAUGGAGACGAAGAUGUAUGUUCUAGCGGCGGACGGGUGAGUAACGCGUGAGCAACCUGUCCCUUACAGGGGGAUAACACAGCGAAAGUUGUACUAAUACCGCAUGAGACCACGGGGAGACAUCUUCCAGGGGUCAAAGGAGCAAUCCGGUAAGGGGUGGGCUCGCGUCCGAUUAGAUAGUUGGUGAGGUAACGGCCCACCAAGUCGACGAUCGGUAGCCGACCUGAGAGGGUGAUCGGCCACAUUGGGACUGAGACACGGCCCAAACUCCUACGGGAGGCAGCAGUGGGGAAUAUUGGGCAAUGGGGGGAAACCCUGACCCAGCAACGCCGCGUGAGGGAAGAAGGUUUUCGGAUCGUAAACCUCUGUCCUUGGUGAAGAGGAAGAGACGGUAGCCAAGGAGGAAGCCCCGGCUAACUACGUGCCAGCCGCGGC